GCCCACGUAGGCCAGCGGUGAGCCGCUCGAUUCAGGAUCGAGUGCCUGGGAGUUCGACUCUCCCCGUGGGUA
rnacentral:tRNA from 1 species